rnacentral:rRNA from 1 species
AACAUCUAAGUACCCCGAGGAAAAGAAAUCAACCGAGAUUCCCCCAGUAGCGGCGAGCGAACGGGGAGGAGCCCAGAGCCUGAAUCAGUGUGUGUGUUAGUGGAAGCGUCUGGAAAGGCGUGCGAUACAGGGUGACAGCCCCGUACACAAAAAUGCACAUACUGUGAGCUCGAUGAGUAGGGCGGGACACGUGGUAUCCUGUCUGAAUAUGGGGGGACCAUCCUCCAAGGCUAAAUACUCCUGACUGACCGAUAGUGAACCAGUACCGUGAGGGAAAGGCGAAAAGAACCCCGGCGAGGGGAGUGAAAAAGAACCUGAAACCGUGUACGUACAAGCAGUGGGAGCCUCUUAAUGGGGUGACUGCGUACCUUUUGUAUAAUGGGUCAGCGACUUAUAUUCUGUAGCAAGGUUAACCGAAUAGGGGAGCCGAAGGGAAACCGAGUCUUAACUGGGCGUUAAGUUGCAGGGUAUAGACCCGAAACCCGGUGAUCUAGCCAUGGGCAGGUUGAAGGUUGGGUAACACUAACUGGAGGACCGAACCGACUAAUGUUGAAAAAUUAGCGGAUGACUUGUGGCUGGGGGUGAAAGGCCAAUCAAACCGGGAGAUAGCUGGUUCUCCCCGAAAGCUAUUUAGGUAGCGCCUCGUGAAUUCAUCUCCGGGGGUAGAGCACUGUUUCGGCAAGGGGGUCAUCCCGACUUACCAACCCGAUGCAAACUGCGAAUACCGGAGAAUGUUAUCACGGGAGACACACGGCGGGUGCUAACGUCCGUCGUGAAGAGGGAAACAACCCAGACCGCCAGCUAAGGUCCCAAAGUCAUGGUUAAGUGGGAAACGAUGUGGGAAGGCCCAGACAGCCAGGAUGUUGGCUUAGAAGCAGCCAUCAUUUAAAGAAAGCGUAAUAGCUCACUGGUCGAGUCGGCCUGCGCGGAAGAUGUAACGGGGCUAAACCAUGCACCGAAGCUGCGGCAGCGACACUAUGUGUUGUUGGGUAGGGGAGCGUUCUGUAAGCCUGUGAAGGUGUACUGUGAGGUAUGCUGGAGGUAUCAGAAGUGCGAAUGCUGACAUAAGUAACGAUAAAGCGGGUGAAAAGCCCGCUCGCCGGAAGACCAAGGGUUCCUGUCCAACGUUAAUCGGGGCAGGGUGAGUCGACCCCUAAGGCGAGGCCGAAAGGCGUAGUCGAUGGGAAACAGGUUAAUAUUCCUGUACUUGGUGUUACUGCGAAGGGGGGACGGAGAAGGCUAUGUUGGCCGGGCGACGGUUGUCCCGGUUUAAGCGUGUAGGCUGGUUUUCCAGGCAAAUCCGGAAAAUCAAGGCUGAGGCGUGAUGACGAGGCACUACGGUGCUGAAGCAACAAAUGCCCUGCUUCCAGGAAAAGCCUCUAAGCAUCAGGUAACAUCAAAUCGUACCCCAAACCGACACAGGUGGUCAGGUAGAGAAUACCAAGGCGCUUGAGAGAACUCGGGUGAAGGAACUAGGCAAAAUGGUGCCGUAACUUCGGGAGAAGGCACGCUGAUAUGUAGGUGAAGUCCCUCGCGGAUGGAGCUGAAAUCAGUCGAAGAUACCAGCUGGCUGCAACUGUUUAUUAAAAACACAGCACUGUGCAAACACGAAAGUGGACGUAUACGGUGUGACGCCUGCCCGGUGCCGGAAGGUUAAUUGAUGGGGUUAGCGGUAACGCGAAGCUCUUGAUCGAAGCCCCGGUAAACGGCGGCCGUAACUAUAACGGUCCUAAGGUAGCGAAAUUCCUUGUCGGGUAAGUUCCGACCUGCACGAAUGGCGUAAUGAUGGCCAGGCUGUCUCCACCCGAGACUCAGUGAAAUUGAACUCGCUGUGAAGAUGCAGUGUACCCGCGGCAAGACGGAAAGACCCCGUGAACCUUUACUAUAGCUUGACACUGAACAUUGAGCCUUGAUGUGUAGGAUAGGUGGGAGGCUUUGAAGUGUGGACGCCAGUCUGCAUGGAGCCGGCCUUGAAAUACCACCCUUUAAUGUUUGAUGUUCUAACGUUGGCCCCUGACCGGGGUUGCGGACAGUGUCUGGUGGGUAGUUUGACUGGGGCGGUCUCCUCCUAAAGAGUAACGGAGGAGCACGAAGGUUGGCUAAUCCUGGUCGGACAUCAGGAGGUUAGUGCAAUGGCAUAAGCCAGCUUGACUGCGAGCGUGACGGCGCGAGCAGGUGCGAAAGCAGGUCAUAGUGAUCCGGUGGUUCUGAAUGGAAGGGCCAUCGCUCAACGGAUAAAAGGUACUCCGGGGAUAACAGGCUGAUACCGCCCAAGAGUUCAUAUCGACGGCGGUGUUUGGCACCUCGAUGUCGGCUCAUCACAUCCUGGGGCUGAAGUAGGUCCCAAGGGUAUGGCUGUUCGCCAUUUAAAGUGGUACGCGAGCUGGGUUUAGAACGUCGUGAGACAGUUCGGUCCCUAUCUGCCGUGGGCGCUGGAGAACUGAGGGGGGCUGCUCCUAGUACGAGAGGACCGGAGUGGACGCAUCACUGGUGUUCGGGUUGUCAUGCCAAUGGCACUGCCCGGUAGCUAAAUGCGGAAGAGAUAAGUGCUGAAAGCAUCUAAGCACGAAACUUGCCCCGAGAUGAGUUCUCCCUGACUCCUUGAGAGUCCUGAAGGAACGUUGAAGACGACGACGUUGAUAGGCCGGGUGUGUAAGCGCAGCGAUGCGUUGAGCUAACCGGUACUAAUGAACCGUGAGG